AUCGAACGCUGGCGGCAGGCCUAACACAUGCAAGUCGAGCGGAGCGGCGGACGGGCGAGUAAUGCUUAGGAAUCUGCCUGGUAGUGGGGGAUAACGUCCGGAAACGGGCGCUAAUACCGCAUACUAUCAGAUGAGCCUAGGUCGGAUUAGCUAGUUGGUGGGGUAAAGGCCUACCAAGGCGACGAUCCGUAACUGGUCUGAGAGGAUGACCAGUAACACUGAAACUGAGACACGGUCCAGACUCCUACGGAAGGCAGCAGUAGGAAAUUUUGGACAAUGGGCGGAAGCCUGAUCCUGCCAUGCCGCGUGUGUGAAGAAGGUCUUCGGAUUGUAAAGCACUUUAAGUUGGGAGGCGUUACCAACAGAAUAAGCACCGGCUAACUUCGUGCCAGCAGCCGCGGUAAUUC
rnacentral:rRNA from 1 species